CUUGGAAACAGUAUCAGCUGGGUUGGGAAGCACCAUGCAGGUGAAUUUUCAGCAGAACUCUUGAAAGGCCUGUUUCUGUUUUCCUGGCUGUGGUUAACUGGAGCUACUUGAAUCAAAUCCCCGGCUUUGUGAACAGCUAAAGAGGACAGCAGUGGAAAUCAUUUCGGGGAUAUAACUUCUCUGCAGUGAAGAGACAGUGGUUUGGCCUAUAGCUAGAGCUCAG
rnacentral:lncRNA from 1 species